CUGGGUGUAGCUCAGUCUGCGCAGAGUCCUCGGCUUGGAACCGAGAGGUCACAGGUUCAAAUCCUGUCGCCCAGA
rnacentral:tRNA from 1 species